UACGUAGGGUGCAAGCGUUGUCCGGAAUUAUUGGGCGUAAAGAGCUCGUAGGCGGUUCGUCACGUCGGCUGUGAAAACCUGAGGCUCAACCUCAGGCCUGCAGUCGAUACGGGCGGACUUGAGUACUGCAGGGGAGACUGGAAUUCCUGGUGUAGCGGUGAAAUGCGCAGAUAUCAGGAGGAACACCGGUGGCGAAGGCGGGUCUCUGGGCAGUAACUGACGCUGAGGAGCGAAAGCGUGGGUAGCGAACAGG
rnacentral:rRNA from 1 species